GAGUAUAAAUGUGUGUUUAGAAAGACGCCGAAACUAGAAGGAUUUCUCCCACAGAAGAGAUGGAAGGAGUGCGGAAGGGAGAGAGAGAGGGCGAUAGAUAGGAGAAACUUUGCAGAUGGAAAGGAAAACGACCUGACACUACAUAUUUGUAGUGAGUACCUCGCCACACUGUGUUCGGAUUUCCUACAUUGACGAGAGGCCAAGGCACAAGGACAAACCAUGGAUACAGAUGAAGAUCCCCUGUGUUUAUUAUUUCUUCCGCCUCUUCAGCUGAGGAUUGUAACUCUAAGGCUUCUCAGCUCAAGUUCUGACUUGUCACUUAACAAAUAAAUAAAAGUCACCUUAACCAUAA